rnacentral:rRNA from 1 species
UACAGAGGGUGCGAGCGUUAAUCGGAGUUACUGGGCGUAAAGGGCGCGUAGGCGGUUGUUUAAGUGGGUUGUGAAAUCCCUGGGCUUAACCUAGGAAUUGCGACUUAAACUGGACAGCUGGAGUGCAGUAGAGGGUAGUGGAAUUUCCGGUGUAGCGGUGAAAUGCGUAGAUAUCGGAAGGAACACCAGUGGCGAAGGCGACUACCUGGACUGUAACUGACGCUGAGGCGCGAGAGCGUGGGUAGCAAACAGG